rnacentral:tRNA from 1 species
GUCGGGAUAGCUCAGCUGGUAGAGCAGAGGAAUGAAAAUCCUCGUCACCAGUUCAAAUCUGGUUUUUGACA